GAUUCUGAAUGGAUGAUCUAUGAAGACCACAUAUACUUACUGCUAGAAUCGAAUCUUACUUGGCAUGAAGCCAAGGAAAAGUGUGAAGAAUUUAAGGCAUACUUGGCAGAAAUAAACUCAGAGAGUGAAAAUAUUUGGAUCACAGAAAAACUUUUGAGACCUUUCUUCGGAAAGCCGACGGGAAAGAACGAAUGGCUUUUUGUUUUAUGGAUUGGAG